rnacentral:rRNA from 1 species
GAUGAACGCUGGCAGCGUGCCUAAUACAUGCAAGUCGAGAGAAUGGAUUAAGAGCUUGCUCUUAUGAAGUUAGCGGCGGACGGGUGAGUAACACGUGGGUAACCUGCCCAUAAGACUGGGAUAACUCCGGGAAACCGGGGCUAAUACCGGAUAACGUUUUGAACCGCAUGGUUCGAAAUUGAAAGGCGGCUUCGGCUGUCACUUAUGGCUGGACCCGCGUCGCAUUAGCUAGUUGGUGAGGUAACGGCUCACCAAGGCAACGAUGCGUAGCCGACAGGAGAGGGUGAUCGGCCACACUGGGACUGUGACACGGCCCAGACUCCUACGGGAGGCAGCAGUAGGGAAUCUUCCACAAUGGACGAAAGUCUGACGGAGCAACGCCGCGUGAGUGAUGAAGGCUUUCGGGUCGUAAAACUCUGUUGUUAGGGAAGAACAAGUGCUAGUUGAAUAAGCUGGCACCUUGACGGUACCUAACCAGAAAGCCACGGCUAACUACGUGCCAGCCGCCGCCGUAA